rnacentral:rRNA from 1 species
GAUGAACGCUGGCGGCGUGCUUAACACAUGCAAGUCGAACGAGAAGUGAAGACGGAAACCUUCGGGCGGAAGGCUUUAUUUCGAGUGGCGGACGGGUGAGUAACGCGUGGGUAACCUGCCUCAUACAGGGGGAUAACAGUUGGAAACGACUGUUAAUACCGCAUAAGACCACAGCACCGCAUGGUGCGGGGGUAAAAACUCCGGUGGUAUGAGAUGGACCCGCGUUCGAUUAGCCAGUUGGCGGGGUGACGGCCCACCAAAGCGACGAUCGAUAGCCGAUCUGAGAGGAUGACCGGCCACAUUGGGACUGAGACACGGCCCAAACUCCUACGGGAGGCAGCAGUGGGGAAUAUUGCACAAUGGGGGAAACCCUGAUGCAGCGACGCCGCGUGAGUGAAGAAGUAUUUCGGUAUGUAAAGCUCUAUCAGCAGGGAAGAAAAUGACGGUACCUGAGUAAGAAGCCCCGGCUAACUACGUG